AUUAAAGAAAUAAUCUCGAGGGCCGAUGGAAAGGAGAGAGGGUUGUAGCUGGCGUAAGCACGUGCACGCCCUCUUUCUCGACCUAGGUCCUUAUGGGCGCGGGGCGACCCGCGUCUUCAUAAGCCCCUUCGUGUAGAAAGUCWAUGAAUGUUUUUAYYAUCAUCGACUCGCGACUUCUAGGAGACGCGAUUCUUUGAGACAAAAGUUAUUACAACUUUCAGCAAUGGAUCUCUUGGCUCUCGCAUCGAUGAAGAACGCAGCGAAUCGCGAUAUGUAAUGUGAAUUGCAGAUCUACAGUGAAUCAUCGAAUCUUUGAACGCACCUUGCGCUUAUCGGUGUUCCGAUGAGCAUGCCUGUUUGAGCGUCAUUAAAUUCUCAACCCCUCUCGAUUUGCUUCGAGAGGGUGCUUGGAUWGUGGAGGCUGCCGGAGACCUGUUUUUUCAGGACUCGGGCUCCUCUGAAAUGUAUUGGCUUGCGGUCGACUUUCGACUGUGCAUGACAAGGCCUUUGGCGUGAUAAUGAUCGCCGCUCGCCGAAGUGCACGAACGAAUGGUCUCGUGCCUCUAAUCAGUCGAUGUCUUUUCGAAGGCGUCUUCCUUAUUGACGUUUGACCUCAAAUCAGGUAGGAC
rnacentral:rRNA from 1 species